rnacentral:tRNA from 1 species
GGCUGGGUAGCUCAGUUGGUUAGAGCGUGGCACUCAUAACGCCAAGGUCGAGAGUUCGAAUCUCUCCUCAGCCACAA